rnacentral:lncRNA from 1 species
GCCCUCGAUUGGCCCAAAAAAUAUGAAAAACCGAAACUUACCAGCGGAGGGGCUCUCUGGUGCGGCGACUCCUCCAGCUCACAUCGCAGUUGGGUGUUUUGCUCCGGUCAACCUAUAGAGGAGGAAAUGGUGAUCUCAACGGUGAAAAAAUCACAUCGAACGGGAAUCGAAAAGGGCCUCAUCAGAGGUAAAAAUCGAGA